GCCUGGGGAACAAACUGAGACUCUGUCUCAAAAAAAAAGAAAGAAAUACUUAUGGGUAAAUCUGACAAAAUAAGUGUAAGACCUGUACACUAAAAACUACAAAACAUUGCUGAAAUAAAUUAAAGAAGACCUAAAUAAUCGGAGAGAUAUACUUUGUUUAAAGGUCAGAAGUCUCAGUAUUGCUAAAAUGAGAACUCUUCCCAAUGCAGUGCUAAUCAAAUUUCUAGCAGGCUUUUUGUAGAAAUUGAAAAGCAGAUACUGUUUUUCUGUUCUUGUUAUUUCCUAACUUUUAAGGUUUCUAUUUUUCCACCCUGUAGAUCUUGUUCUCACUAGAGAAUAAUUUCUACAUUAUGCCCAGGUUCUUCUGAGCUAUGAAGGGGCCCAGAUUUAAGGGCUAUUUUUGACACCCUAAAUGUGCUGAGACAAGUCAUUAAGGUGGUCCUGCCAGGACACAGCCAUCUAAAGCAGCAAUCUGCUUCUUGCCAGAAAAUCUCGUGCCUCUGCAGAGCCUUUUCCAGAAUGAACCACACCAUGCUGAGGUAGGGUAGAAGGGGCAGUACACCAAUAGGCCUGGGUAUUCUAGAACAAUAGGCCUAGAACUUCUCAUCAGCUCCUGUUUCUUUUCAUCUCUAGGAAAGGAGAAAGAGACUACCUACUGCAUUUCUGUCACUCGCUGAAAAGGACACUCUGUCAGAAAAUCUUCUAGCAAACUUCAAAGGGCAAAAUCACCCCUUGUUACUGAUAAAGCCCAGAGAGCUUCAGCAGCUAACAUUCCCUGGACAGGGCACAGCAAGGAUUUGAACCUAGGUCAGUCUGGCCAGAACACCCACAAGCUUUCCUUAACUCAGUGUGCUAUCUCCCCACGACUAGGUCACUACUGC
rnacentral:lncRNA from 10 species